CUGAGCUGGAUAUUGGCGUUGUACAAACAUUGGCAUAAUAAUUUGACAAAUGUUGAAGAGCAAAUGUGCAGUUCUCUCAAACCUAGAAAUAAAUUGUUCAAGGCCAAUUAUUUGUGGCAAACUUUGUAAAGUAUGCUAUCAGAAUAGGCAACAGGUUUAGUAGGUUAAUUCUUAGUUCAGAAAAUAAUGAUUCCUAUUUUUUUAUGUCUAAUUUAUAUAGCCUAGUACGCAUGGUGUGUCGCACAGGAAGUUCCGUUCAUCUUGGAAAAGAGCAUGGUAUUUACAAGCCCGCUCGUGAGGAGAGACGUUGACUGUCAAAACAACUAUAACCGUGAGAUUUCACUUUUCAGAACUUGUCUAACGUGCCACUAGUCAUCAUGCACUGCAGCAAUGAAAUACUCUACAUCUGGCACCUGUCUUGGAUUUAAGGAACUAUGAGCAUUAUGUGAUGUCCCAGGAGCUGGAAGAUUCUCAUUUACAAGAAAGAACAAGUCAGCACUGACGAAGUUUUAUUCAAUGUGCGAAAACAAGACACAGUAAGGUUCACAGAAGACCGGGUAUGUGACACGUCGACAGUGAGAAGGUUGGCGAGGCAUGGCUCUGCUGGAAUAUGUGGGGUGAAUGCUGGAAAAUAAGACAUGAAUAGGCAUAAAGAAAUCCAGACGUGUGCUGGGUUUUCUCCAGAGCCAGGUUACUGAUACCUAACCAUGAAGGAGCAUUAUGCAGAGGACCUUCAGCAAGACGAGCUGAAUACAAAAGGUACUGGAUACAGAAGGUGUUGUGGGGGAGGUGGAAUUAGUGAAGGAAGGUAGUCAACUAAGGGGGUACUGAGCCAUGUGAGCUGAUUUAUUUGUUACUGGCCAUGGAAUGCCGACACAAAUCCUCUGAGAAACAGUAACUGACAGGCAGUUGAGAAUAACUGCUGCUGGAAAAGACAUGAAUGUGAAUGAAUGUCGGCCUUUACUCAAUUCUGAGUUCAAGAUGGGAGAGGAUAUUGGAAAUCGGCUAGCACUACAGGAUGUGCUUAUGAAGUAUGCUACUUCCGAUGGGGAGUCGAAGUCUUCAGAUGGAAUAGACAAAGCUCGGAAGAUGUUUAUGGGAGGUGCAACGACUUGCUGACCCCACCCAUAUGGCUCAGGACAGUUUUGUCAAUGCUUCAGUGCUGAUUUCAACCAAGAUGUUCCCCGACAUUUCUUUACAUCCUCACUCAGCACCUGCCAUUUUUGUGUAUAGGGCAUGUAACAGCCUGAUAAUGAAAGGAGUCAUGCAGGCGUUGAGAAAAAAAAUAUUCAGUGCGUUGCUUUACAUACUGUUACACUUGUAGGUUACCAAACAAGCUGGUAGUUCAACUUGAGAAUUUGGAGAUUACGGGCCGCAGUGUGAUCACAUGGACAAGUAGGCUGCCUGUCACGAAAAGUGAACAUUUGAAAUCAACUGACACCAUGUGACAUGUUUUUUGCACUCAUUAUAAUGCUAAGUAACUAGCACAUGUAACUUUGUCAGUCAUAGGUUGUACUGAUGUCUUGUGUUGAAACUAGGGAUGUACGCCUAGUCUGGGGAUUGUUAAGGAUGCAUUAUUUAUAAGUGAUCUGUACCAAAGGGCGUCAAUUCUUAAUAAAGUUUUGCAAAAGUG